rnacentral:rRNA from 1 species
GGUGAACGCUGACAGAAUGCUUAACACAUGCAAGUCUACUUGAACCUCGGUUUGGGUGGCGGACGGGUGAGUAACGCGUAAAGAACUUGCCUCACAGAUAGGGACAACAUUUGGAAACGAAUGCUAAUACCUGAUAUUAUGAUUUUAGGGCAUCCUAGAAUUAUGAAAGCUAUAUGCAUUGUGAGAGAGCUUUGCGUCCCAUUAGCUAGUUGGAGAGGUAACGGCUCACCAAGGCGAUGAUGGGUAGCCGGCCUGAGAGGGUGAUCGGCCACAAGGGGACUGAGACACGGCCCUUACUCCUACGGGAGGCAGCAGUGGGGAAUAUUGGACAAUGGACCAAGAGUCUGAUCCAGCAAUUCUGUGUGCACGAUGAAGUUUUUCGGAAUGUAAAGUGCUUUCAGUUGGGAAGAAAAAAAUGACGGUACCAACAGAAGAAGUGACGGCUAAAUACGUG